GACGAACGCUGGCGGCGUGCUUAACACAUGCAAGUCGAACGGUAAGGCCCUUCGGGUACACGAGUGGCGAACGGGUGAGUAACACGUGAACAACCUGCCCUUGACUCUGGGAUAACAGUUGGAAACAGCUGCUAAUACCGGAUACGAGCCUGCAAGACAUCUUGCGGGCUUGAAAGCUCCGGCGGUCAAGGAUGGAUUCGCGGCCUAUCAGCUUGUUGGUGAGGUAACGGCUCACCAAGGCUUCGACGGGUAGCCGGCCUGAGAGGGCGACCGGCCACACUGGGACUGAGAUACGGCCCAGACUCCUACGGGAGGCAGCAGUUUCGAAUCAUUCACAAUGGGCGAAAGCCUGAUGGUGCAAUGCCGCGUGGGGGAUGAAGGUCUUCGGAUCGUAAACCCCUGUCACCAAGGACUAAACUUCCGGCUCAUACCCGGAACUGAAUUAACUUGGAGAGGAAGCAGUGGCUAACUCCGUGCCAGCAGCCG
rnacentral:rRNA from 1 species